rnacentral:lncRNA from 1 species
GUUGUCGAAGAAGGGGGGAGGCUACACGUAUUCCGUUUCCUUCUCUCUCUCUCUCUCUCUCUCUCUCUCUCUCUCUCUCUUGCGAAGAACCCACACUCUUCUGCGUUUUCUCUACCGAAACACACUGCUUUCCUCUCCUCUUACUUAUGUUCGUCUCCACCGAGCCCAAUCCAUCUCAGCCCCUCACGACCGGCGCCUUCAUCCAGUAGCAGAAUCGUUGCUGCUCAGUUCUGAUCAAAGCUUCGACACCGGCUGUGAAGCUUAGCCACCCGACGCCUCAUUUCCCUUCCAUUGAGGAAGGAUCCAGGUAAGUGGGCUGUUCUUGUAGUCUCGCGUCCCUGAUUUUGCUCGCUUGGUGCUGCAUGUUGGUUUAGGGUUGGGUAGUUGCGAUUGGGGGUGCAGGGGAUGGCUAGUAAAGCCCUGUCCAUGGUUGGGAUCGAUAGAUGGGGACGCUGGUUGCUGUCCGAUGGGUAAACCAGAGGGAGCCAUUUGUGCGUGCGUUCUCUAUUCUUGUUUUUGUUACACGAUUUCUUCAACUCCGUCUUCUGGGUUCGACCUUCCUCGAGCGGCGGGUCGCUGUAUCCAAAGACUUACGAUGUUUCUGGGGCUGUUAUUUUGUUAUCGUUGAAGAGUUUUGGGUCGUUGGACUCAAAAUUAAGUAAUGUAACGCCGUUCUUGAUUAGAGUUGGUUAAAAUAGAUUCUGGUUUUUGUGUUCAGCUAUUGCCGGGAGGAUAUGGUGUUGGGUUCUAACCAGGUCGGCAACCCACGAACCCCAAGCACUGUGAGUGGCACCAUUGGGCUAAGUUUUGGUCACGAGUAUUGAGGAAUGAGGUGAUUGAGGGGUAGUAGUAUCAAAAGGGAAAUUGCCAAGUGUUAGAUUAUUUCAUUUUUCUUUUGGGUGCGGAGGAGGGCUGGUUUAGUCCCAUCAAAUUUAAUUGAAAAUGAAGCUAGUAUGUAGUCUAGAACUUGUGAUUUUAAUGUGUUCUUGAGUUAAGAUUCACACGUGGUUGGAGUAUUGCAAUUUAGUUUGCAAUUCAGUAUAGAUUCCUAGAACUAGAUUUACUGGACUCUCUUUGUUUGUAAAUGUUAUGACUUUUGCCGUGGAAGAAUUCUAAGUGAGUGGAAAUAUAUUAUGACUACUCCUAGAUGCUGUGUAAGUGUGCUGAGAUGCUACAUGAUGAAUUUGUAGUAAAACAAAUGGUUUGAUUGUGCUGAAAAUGAAGAGAAAAGCAUUGGAUGUUUUCUAUCUUAGAGAAACAUGGAUAGAAAUUAGUUUAUAUUGUGUCACUUUAAUUUCUAGAGAUGAAGAUGAGGAAAAAAACCAUUUGACUUAAGAUAAAAUCCCUUAUAUUCAAUUUAACUCAUAGUUAUAGUUAUAUGAAUACAAGAACAUGUAUAUAGAAGCAAUGCAUUUUAAAACAGAGAAACUGUUCUGUAGAAAAUAGCCUGACCUUUGAUGAUUCUUCGAAUUUUCUGUAAUUAUCUAUCCGAAAUUUGACUUUAUGUCCUUGUUGAAAGUUGUAAAUGACAUCUUUAGAAGUAACAUAUUAAAAUUUGAGAAGAAACGGACAAGUGUUGGCUGGUGAAACGAAUUUCUUCUGUAGAUACUAAAUCUGAGAGUUGCUGCAGAAUUUUGAGGAGAAGACAACAAAUUACUGCUCUUAAUACACUGAGAUUUAGGCUUAAGUUUCUUCACGAAAAAUGUUAAUCUAGGUCCCUUUUAUAACGUACUGAAAUUUCGUAAUAUUCUGAUGAGGGUUGAUAUACUUUCUAUGUCUGUGAACAAAAUUGCUCAUUUUGUCCAUAACCUGUUGAUCCGAGAAUAUAUAUUAGUUGUUGUCUCUUGUAUUGGAUUCUUAAUUGGCUGAGAUUGUUGGUGCUGCAACAAGGUGGAACUAUGAAUGUAUGAUUGGCUAAUGAGCCAAUGUGAGAUCCCGGGUGUCGGGAUGCCUGGAGAGGGGUGAAAAGAAGUAACAGUGUUCUCUCCAGAGGUCUGAGAAGGGUUGAACAACUUCUCAGGGGACCUCGUGAUACCAGGUUGGGUGUGAGGGGUUCAGGGUGGAGUGUCGUCUCCCCCUGGGUGAUUGUUGCAGCUAGGUUUUUGUGGAUUCAAUAACUUGAUGAUUUUGUUUACUUAUUUGCCAUGUUUUUGGCCAAUCCAAGUUAGGACUAACCGCCCACUUGCUGAGUUUUUAUUUUAAAAACUCACACUUGUUAUUAUGUUGUUUCUUCAAAGUAGAAGAUGUCGACUGCACCGCCUACCCCGCCCGCUACCACAACGACCAUCUUCUAUGGCUCCCCCGCCGACUUUGUGUGGCGGCAAGAGGACUUCCUGGACUGAUAUUUCCCGGGAGUAAUCUUUGUCAAAUACACCUCUUGUUUGACAAUAGAUACAGGGGCGCCUACGGGACCGGCUUAUAUGGUCUUCGUUGCGCUUUAAGCUCGGGUAGAUGGACGGCUGGUGGGACCCUUAAUGUUAUAUGAUGAUGGACCGGGGCAGGGUGGUAGUCCUGCGGAGUAGGAGGUAGCAGAGAAGUGCUGGACGUGUGGGAAGAUUUUUGUUUUUUGUUGUUUAACAACAUGUACAUACCAAGGAGAGGCGGGAUAAUUUGUGUUCGUGGUUUAGAGUGUUUUUUGUGGAAAUCCCCUCUCAGUAACAUUUUCCCCAUGUGUAAAGAAAUCAAGUUUAUAAUAAUAGAGCCAAGUAGCUCAGUUUCUUAUGACUCUGCUUGAUAGGAAUUUAUUUUUUUUAAUUCUUGAAGUAAAAUUAAGAUGAGUGAAAUCAAGAUAUAUGCGAUCUAGGGGAUGUCACAAUUGAGUGGUAUCAGAGCUUGGUUUUAAUUGGAGUGAUAAGGUUUAGGAUUUUAGAUGAAUGCUAGUGUACCUGAGUGUUUAGACAUGAUUGUCCAUGUAAAUUGGGACAAUUAUUGCUUUGAGCGGUUAGUUUUAUGAUCGUGUGGUUUGAGUAAUGUGGGAAUAUUACGUUACUUUUAACUAACAUCAUAAAUUUCUAAUUCCUAAUAUGGGUAAUGUGCAGAAAAUUUAGGAGAAAGAUGGUGCGAUCAAGGAGCUCAUCUCCGCCGAGGAGAGAAGCGACUGAGUCGGGGGCGGCUGCAUCAGGGGCAGGGCCGAGGAUGGAGGAUGUGUUGCAAGCCUUGGUUUCUUUGGGGAAUUUGGUGGAGAGACAGGCCCAAAUUCCACUGCAACCACCACCUCUGCCGCCACCCCAACAGCCACUUCUGGCGGAGCAUCGCACCCAGGGAUUGGUAGAGCAGUUCCUGAAAUUAAAACCACAAAAAUUCUCGGGAAUGGGACGUCCCGAGGAAGCGGAGUAGUGGAUUGAUAGUAUGAAAAGAAUUUUCAAAUUGCUUGGUUGCAAUGACCAAGAUAAGAUAACACUUGCUGAAUAUCAGUUGGAAGGGAAUGCCAUGUAUUGGUGGAGAGCAUCGAAGGAUAUCAUAUUUCCAACAGGUACGGAAAUGGUAUGGGAUGGGUUCGUGAAAGCUUUCUACAAGAAACAUUUUUCUGAGUGUACGAAGGAUCGAAAGAUUACUGAGUUUGUUCAACUGAGUUAAAGGGAACUAACUGUGGAUCAAUAUGAGGCAAAAUUUUCAGAACUUUCUAGGUAUGCUCCUAAGUUGAUUGAGGAUCCCGAGGAUAAAGCAAAGAGGUUUCUGAAUGGCCUAAAGACUAAUAUUAGGAAACAAUUAGUGCCUUUAGGUAUAAGAGACUAUAAUGAAGGGUAUGCUCGAGCUCAAUGGGUCGAGCAAGAACUCAUUAGAGAGCAGAUGGAGGAUAGGGAAAAGGUCAGAUCGGGGCUGCAAGGAGCCACAAGGGAUGUGCAUAGCGGCAAGCGACCUUUUCCAUCUCGGGACACACCUUGGAGUUCCAAGAAGAGGCCCGCUUAUGGAAGUUCAGGAGGGACAAGUAAGGGACAAUACGUGAAUCGGGCUAUAUUUUAGAACGACUUAUGUCCACGAUGUAACCGGCGACAUGGACCAGGGCCUUACCUUGAUCCCUUGAGAUGUUAUAAGUGUGGAAAGGAGGGUCAUUUCAAAAGAGAAUGUCCCCAAGGGAGACAACAAGCCAACAAUAAUCAAUCGCAUCAUGCACUGCCACGCUCGAAGGGAACACUUCCACCAGGAAAGACGCAAAGACCGCCAGCAAAAGGAAAAGUGUAUGCAAUGACUCAGGAGGAAGCGGAAGCUUCCGAGACCGUUAUCACAGGUACGAUUUCCUUGAAUGAUCAAAAGGCUUAUGCAUUAUUUGAUUCGGGCGCGACCCAUUCCUUUAUUGCUGAAAGAUAUAAGCGAUUACAUAAUCUAGAAGUGACACCUCUCAUAACCCCUCUCAGUGUUUCCACACCAUUAAGGGAUGAAGUAUUAUCUACAUUAGUUUGUGAAAAUUGUGAAAUCUCAAUAGGGGGAAUGACACAUUCUAUUGAUUUGGUAGAAAUAGGUAUGUAUGACUAUGACACCAUUAUAGGCAUGGACUGGCUUAGUAAGCAGCAAGCCAUUGUAGAUUGUUAUAGAAAAAGGAUUCAAUUUAACCCCUAUGAUGAACCUAAUUAUGAGUUCUUGGGAAAUAAACUGACACUCUCCAUGAACCUUAUUUCGGCAAUGGAAGCACAUAGACCCUUAGAUAGGGGAUGUCAAGGAUAUUUAGCGAUGGUUAAGGAUAAGGAAAUGAAAGAGGCGAAGCUAGAGGAAAUUAGUAUAAUACGUGAAUUUCCUAAUGUAUUUCUAGAAGAACUCCCUGGAUUACCUCCAGACCGAGAGGUUGAGUUUGCUAUAGAAAUACUUCCAGGGACGGAACCUGUAUCAAAAGCUCCAUAUCGGAUGUCUUUGGCAGAAUUGAAGGAGCUAAAAAUCCAGCUGCAAGAAUUAUUGGAUAAAGGAUUUAUAGGACCGAGUGUAUCUCCGUGGGGGGCACUAGUCCUGUUUGUGAAAAAGAAUGAUGGAUCAAUGCGUCUUUGCAUUGAUUAUAGAAAAUUGAACCAAGUUACAGUUAAGAAUAAAUACCCCCUACUAAGGAUUGAUGAUCUAUUUGAUCAACUAGCUGGUAGCUCGGUCUUUUCAAAAAUUGACUUGAGGUCUAGGUACCAUCAAUUAAGAGUUAAAGAGGAAGAUGUUCCCAAAACAGUUUUUAGGACUUGGUAUGGGCACUAUGAAUUUCUAGUCAUGCCCUUUGGUCUGACCAAUGUGCCUGCUGCUUUCAUGGAUCUGAUGAAUAGGAUAUUUAUAUCUUAUCUGGAUCAAUUUGUGAUUGUUUUUAUAGAUGACAUUUUGGUAUAUUCAAAAGGGUCAGAAGAGCACAAGGAACACCUAUGCAUCGUGCUACGGACCCUUAGAGAAAACUAAUUAUAUGCCAAAUUUAGUAAAUGUGAGUUCUGGUUAAACCAAGAAACAUUUUUGGGUCAUGUAGUGUUAGAAAAAGGAUUAACAAUGGACCCAGCAAAGAUUGAGACCGUAAUUGAAUGGCCAAGACCCACUACACCGACGGAGAUUCGGAGUUUCUUAGGGCUUGCAGGGUAUUAUCGAAUGUUCAUAGAAGGAUUCGCACGACUUGCAAGUCCCUUGACCCAUUUGACUAAGAAGAGUGUGAAAUUUGAAUGGAAUGAUAAAUGUGAACAAAGUUUUCAGGAACUUAAAAGAAGAUUGACCUCGGCACCAAUUUUAACCCUACCUUUAGGAUCUGGUGGAUUCACAGUGUAUAGUGAUGCUUCCCACCAAGGACUCGGUUGUGUCUUGAUGCAACAUGGAAAGGUCAUAACUUAUGCAUCGAGACAACUGAAACCUUAUGAAAAGAACUAUCCUACCCAUGAUUUAGAGUUGGCUGCAAUUAUUCAUGCAUUAAAAAUCUUGAGACAUUAUUUAUAUGGGGAAAAAUUUGAAAUUUACACCGAUCAUAAAAGUUUGAAAUAUUUAUUUUCGUAAAAGGAGUUAAAUAUGAGGCAAAGAAGAUGGAUGGAGUUAUUUAAGGAUUAUGAUUGUGAGAUAGUGUACCAUCCAAGAAAAGCUAAUAAAGUGGCAGAUGCCCUUAGUCGUAAGUCGGAUGUGAGUAUGAAAAAUUUGAGAGUGAAAGAAUGGGAUCUUUUGAAAACCAUUGCCAACUCUGAAUUUAGAUUAGAGGUAGAUCACUUUUCAGGUGUGUUGGCAACUUUGAGGAUUGAACCGCGGGUGAUCAAAAAAAUACAGAUCCUACAACAGUCAGACCCGAGACUGUUAAAAAUUCGAGAUGAAGUGCAAAGUGGAGGUAGGGAGGAAUUUCAGUUGUCUGAGGACGGAAUUGUCAGAUAUCGAGGAUGUCUUUAUGUGCCAAAAGAUAAGGAACUUAGGAGGGAGAUAUUGUCAGAGGCACAUAAAAGUGCUUAUAGCAUUCACCCCGGAGGUACGAAAAUGUACCGAAAUUUGCGGCAACACUACUGGUGGAAUGGUAUGAAAAAAUGACAUCGCUAGAUUUGUUUCUCAGUGCUUGACUUGUCAACAAGUGAAAGCUGAACACCAAAAGCCUGCUGAGCUAUUGAAACCCCUAGAUAUUCCAGAAUGGAAAUGGGAGCAUGUUACUAUGGACUUUGUGCAGGGACUCCCAAGGACUUCUAGUGGACAUAAUUCGAUAUGGGUAGUAGUGGAUCAUCUGACCAAAUCUGCUCACUUUAUAGCAGUUCGAACAGAUUAUUCGAUUGAUAAGUACGCAGAAAUAUAUGUGAGACAAAUUGUCCGUCUACACGAUGUUCCCGUCACUAUCACUUCUGAUCGAGACCCAAGAUUUACUUCAAAACUUUGGCGGAGCUUACAAGUUGCUUUAGGGACUAAGCUCCAGUUUAGUACAGCCUUUCAUCCUCAGACUGACGGACAAUCUGAAAGAGUAAUCCAAAUUUUGGAAGAUAUGCUAAGAGCCUAUCUGUUGGAUUUUAAAGGAAACUGGGAUGAAAAAUUACCUUUGGUGGAAUUUGCAUAUAAUAAUAGUUUUCAGCAAAAUAUUGGAGCUGCCCCAUUUGAAGCACUGUACGGGAGAGCCUGUAGAACCCCAGUAUGCUGGAAUGAGGUAGGCGAGUGAAGAUUAACCGGACCCGAAUUAGUCCAAGUUACAGUAGAUGCUGUGAAAACUAUUAAGGAGUGACUAAGGACUGCCCAAAGUCGACAGAAAAGUUAUGCAGACAAACGCAGAAGGCCUUUGGAAUUUGUUGUGGGAGAUAAAGUUUUUCUCAAAGUCUCACCGGUUAAAGGCGUAUCAAGAUUUGGUAAAAAGGGCAAGUUGAGUCCACGUUUUAUUGGACCAUUUGAAAUACUUGAUAGGAUUGGGGAAGUAGCCUAUAGAUUAGCAUUACCCCCAAAGUUAGCAGGCAUACAUGAUGUGUUUCAUGUUUCCAUGCUAAGAAAAUAUCAUCCCGACCCUACUCACGUAUUGGACUACGAGACUAUUGAGGUGGAUCAAAACGUGAAUUAUACAGAAGAACUUGUGCAAAUUUUGAGACGAAGAGAGCAAGUGUUGAGGACAAAAGUGAUUCCAUUAGUUAAGGUGUUGUGGCGACAUCAUGGCCUUGAAGAAGCGACAUGGGAAAGAGAAGAAGAAAUCCGUCAACGAUACCCACAUCUGUUUAGUUAGUGUAUAAUUUCGAGGACGAAAUUUCCUAAGAGGGGAAUAAUUUGUGACGCCCAAAAUUUCAUUAAUUUCAUUAGUAGAUUAAGCGUAUUUAAGACCUUAUAUAUAUACAUAUAUAUAUGUAUAUAUAUGUAUAUGUAUAUAUGUAAAUAAUAAAAUAAAAUAGUAAUAACCCAGAAAAAUAAUCAAAACUCAAGAAGAAAUAUUUAGUCAAAAAAAAAAAGAUUGUCAAAAGACUUUUCUCCGUAAAGCAAGAAUAUACGAAAUCCCACCACUUCUCCCCCACGUGAUAGUAGAAAUUAAAAAAAAAGGGGGAGAAAUUAAAAAAAAAAUUAAGAGAAACAUUUGUUCUGCUUCCCCACGUUGCGUCCAGAUGUUGUCGAAGAAGGGGGGAGGCUACAAGUAUUCCGUUUUCUUUUCUCUCUCUCCCUCUCUCUCUCUCUCUCUCUCUCUCUCUCUCUCUUUUGCGAAGAACCCACACUCUUCUGCGUUUUCUCUACCGAAACACACCGCUUUCCUCUCCUCUUACUUCUGUUCGUCUCCAUUGAGCCCAACCCAUCUCAGCCCCUCACGACCGGUGCCUUCAUCCAGUAGCAGAAUCGUUGCUGCUCAAUUCUGAUCAAAGCUUCGACGCCGGUUGUGAAGCUUAGCCGCCCGACGCCUCAUUUCCCUUCCAUUGACGAAGGAUCCAGGCAAGUGGGUUGUUCUUGUAGUCUCGCGUCCCUGAUUUUGCUCGCUUGGUGCUGCAUGUUGGUUUAGGGUUGGGUAGUUGCGAUUGGGGGUGCAGGGGAUGGCUAGUAAAGCCCUGUCCAUGGUUGGGACCGGUAGAUGGGGAAGCUGGUUGCUGUCGAUGGGUAAACCAGAGAGAGCCAUUUGUGCGUGCGUUCUCUAUUCUUGUUUUUGUUACACGAUUUCUUCAACUCCGUCUUCUGGGUUCGACCUUCCUCGAGCGGCGGGUCGCUGUAUCCAGAGAGUUAUGAUGUUUCUGGGGCUGUUUUUUUGUUAUCGUUGAGGAGCUUUGGGUCGUUGGACUCAAAAUUAAGUAAUAUAACGCCGUUCUUGAUUAGAGUUGGUUAAAAUAGAUUUUGAUUUUUGUGUUCAGCCAUUGCCGGGGGAUAUGGUGCUGGGUUCUAACCAGGUCGGCAACCCACGAACCCCAAGCGCUGUGAGUGGCACCAUUGGGCUAAGUUUUGGUCACAAGUAUUGAGGAAUGAGGUGAUUGAGGGGUAAUAGUAUCAAAAGGGAAAUUGCCAAGUGUUAGAUUAUUUCAUUUUUCUUUUGGGUGCGGAGGAGGGCUGGUUUAGUCCCAUUAAAUUUAAUUGAAAAUAAAGUUAGUAUGUAGUCUAGAACUUGUGAUUUUAAUGUGUUCUUGAGUUAAGAUUCGCACGUGGUUGGAGUAUUGCAAUUUAGUUUGCAAUUCAGUAUAAAUUCUUAGAACUAGAUUUACUGGACUCUCUUUGUUUGUAAAUGUUAUAACUUUUGCUGUGGAAGAAUUCUAAGUGAGUGGAAAUGUAUUAUGACUACUCCUAGAUGUUGUGUAAGUGUGCUAAGAUGCUACAUGAUGAAUUUGUAGUAAAACAAAUGGUUUGGUUGUGCUGAAAAUGAAGAGAAAAGCAUUGGAUGUUUUCUGUCUUAGAGAAACAUGGAUAGAAAUUAGUUUAUAUUGUGUCACUUUAAUUUCUAGAGAUAAAGAUGAGGAAAAUAACCAUUUGACUUAAGAUAACAUCCGUUAAAUUCAGUUUAACUCAUAAUUGUAGUUAUAUGAAUACAAGAACAUGUAUAUAGAAGCAAUGCAUUUUAAAACAGAGAAACAGUUCUGUAGAAAACGGCCUGACCUUUGAUGGUUCUUUGAAUUUUCUAUAAUUAUCUAUCCGAAAUUUGACUUUGUGUCCUUGAUGAAAGUUGUAAAUGACAUCUUUAGUAGUAACAUAUUAAAAUUUUAGAAGAAACGGACAAGUGUUGGCUGGUGAAACGAACUUCUUCUAUAGAUACUAAAUCUGAGAGUUGCUGCAGAAUUUUGAGGAGAAGACAACAAAUUACUGCUCUUAAUACACUGAGAUUUAGGCUUAAGUUUCUUCACAAAAAAUGUUAAUCUAGGUCCCUUUUAUAACGUACUGAAAUUUCGUAAUAUUCUGAUAAGGGUUGAUGUACUUUCUAUGUCUGUGAACAAAACUGCUCAUUUUGUUCAUAACCUGUUGAUCCGAGAAUAUAUAUUAGUUGUUGUCUCUUGUAUUGGAUUCUUAAUUGGCUGAGAUUGUUGGUGCUGCAACAAGGUGGAACUAUGAAUGUAUGAUUGGCUAAUGAGCCAAUGUGAGACCCCAGGUGUCGGGAUGCCUGGAGAGUGGUGAAAAGAAGUAACAGUGUUCUCUCCAGAGGUCUGAGAAGGGUUGAACAACUUCUCAGGGGACCUCGUGAUACCAGGUUGGGUUCAAGAGGUUCAGGGUGGAGUGUUGUCUCCCCCUGGGUGAUUGUUGCAGCUAGGUUUCUGUGGAUUCAAUAACUUGAUGAUUUUGUUUACUUAUUUGCCAUGUUUUUGGCCAAUCCACGUUAGGACUAACCGCCCAUUUGCUGAGUUUUUAUUUUAAAAAUUCACACUUGUUAUUAUGUUGUUUCUUCAGAGUAGAAGAUGUCGACUGCACCGCCUACCCCGCCCACGCCGACUUUGUGUGGCGGCAAGAGGACUUCCUGGACCGACAUUUCCCGGGAGUAAUCUUUAUCAAAUACACAUCUUGUUUGACAAUAGAUACAGGGGCGCCUACGGGACCGGCUUAUAUGGUCUUCGUUACCCUUUACGCUCGGGUAGAUGGACGGCUGGUGGGACCCUUGAUGCUAUAUGAUGAUGGACCGGGGCAGGGUGGUAGUCCUGCGGAGUAGGAGGUAGCAGAGAAGUGCUGGACGUGUGGGAAGAUUUUUGUUUUUGGUUGUUUAACAACAUGUACAUACCAAGGAGAGGCGGGAUAAUUUGUGUUCGUGGUUUAGAGUGUUUUUUGUGGAAAUCCCCCUCUCAGUAACAUCUUCACCAUGUGUAAAGAAAUCAAGUUUAUGAUAAUAGAGCCGAGUAGUUCAGUUUCUUA